rnacentral:rRNA from 1 species
UGCAGUCGAGCGAAUGGAUUAAGAGCUUGCUCUUAUGAAGUUAGCGGCGGAGGGGAGUAACACGUGGGUAACCUGCCCAUAAGACUGGGAUAACUCCGGGAAACCGGGGCUAAUACCGGAUAACAUUUUGAACUGCAUGGUUCGAAAUUGAAAGGCGGCUUCGGCUGUCACUUAUGGAUGGACCCGCGUCGCAUUAGCUAGUUGGUGAGGUAACGGCUCACCAAGGCAACGAUGCGUAGCCGACCUGAGAGGGUGAUCGGCCACACUGGGACUGAGACACGGCCCAGACUCCUACGGGAGGCAGCAGUAGGGAAUCUUCCGCAAUGGACGAAAGUCUGACGGAGCAACGCCGCGUGAGUGAUGAAGGCUUUCGGGUCGUAAAACUCUGUUGUUAGGGAAGAACAAGUGCUAGUUGAAUAAGCUGGCACCUUGACGGUACCUAACCAGAAAGCCACGGCUAACUACGUGCCAGCAGCCGCGGUAAUACGUAGGUGGCAAGCGUUAUCCGGAAUUAUUGGGCGUAAAGCGCGCGCAGGUGGUUUCUUAAGUCUGAUGUGAAAGCCCACGGCUCAACCGUGGAGGGUCAUUGGAAACUGGGAGACUUGAGUGCAGAAGAGGAAAGUGGAAUUCCAUGUGUAGCGGUGAAAUGCGUAGAGAUAUGGAGGAACACCAGUGGC